rnacentral:rRNA from 1 species
CCUACGGGAGGCAGCAGUGGGGAAUAUUGGGCAAUGGAGGAAACUCUGACCCAGCGACGCCGCGUGCGGGAUGAAGGCCUUCGGGUUGUAAACCGCUUUCAGCAGGGAAGAAGCGAAAGUGACGGUACCUGCAGAAGAAGCACCGGCUAACUAUGUGCCAGCAGCCGCGGUAAUACAUAGGGUGCAAGCGUUGUCCGGAAUUAUUGGGCGUAAAGAGCUCGUAGGUGGUUCGUCACGUCGGAUGUGAAAAUCUGGGGCUUAACCCCAGACCUGCAUUCGAUACGGGCGAGCUUGAGUAUGGUAGGGGAGUCUGGAAUUCCUGGUGUAGCGGUGGAAUGCGCAGAUAUCAGGAGGAACACCAAUGGCGAAGGCAGGACUCUGGGCCAUUACUGACACUGAGGAGCGAAAGCGUGGGGAGCGAACAGGAUUAGAUACCCUGGUAGUCCACGCCGUAAACGGUGGGCACUAGUUGUGGGGACCUUCCACGGUCUCUGCGACGCNGCUACGCAUAGUGCCCGCCGUCGGGAGGUACGAGCGCAGAUAAACUACGAAGAAGUAGACGCGNGAGACGUGCGACGGACGACGACGAGGGAGAGG